AGGACUGAUGUCGGGGUCAUCCAACUGAAUUUGCAUCAUAUUUCCAUUAUUGUCGUUCUCUCAAGUUUGAGGAUAAACCGGAUUAUGCUUAUCUGAAGAAAAUAUUCCCUGAUCUCUUCAUCCGUGAAGGCUUUCAAUUUGACUGUGUUUUUGAUUGGAUUAUAAUUGCAACUCCUCCUUCCCAACCUCUUGGACCUGACUCAGACAUGGAAUGGAUCCUUGUACCUGACUCUCACAUGGAAUGGAUCCUUGUAUAAAUUAAUGCCAUGCAAUGCAUUAUCGUCUAUAGUCUUCUUAUAAUUCUAUACAAAUGUUAAAAAUUGCUCGUUGGCCAUUGUAAUACUAAAAUUCCUCAAGCUUCUACUU